UUAGGGGGUCAAUGCCUGAGAAGCCAAAAAUGAAUGCUAGUCCAGUUUAAAUGGAUUAUACUAAAAGAUGCUGCUACCUCUGAAAUUACUAAUUCAAAGUGUUAUAUUCUUGUCUGCUGCUUAAAUAAUAAGCUUCUGCUAAUGAGCUGGCUUUUGACAAGAUGUAUGCAGCUCCAUAGGCUGAUAAAGAAAAACUCUCAAUAAGUCUGGUUUGAAAGAAUAGACUCUCACCAAAGGGACUGUAAUCAGUGCAUGCUGAGAUUAUUUAUGACAUGCAGCUUAUGCCACCUAGUUUACUUAGGAACCAUUUCAAUUCUUCUGAUCCUCUGCAGGGGUGAUCUCAGACUGGGUAAGCAUAUAACCUACCCCAACUGUUUUGAGAAGGAUAUAUUGUAGAAUAAACUACAGGCUUUAAAAUUACUGGCCCCUAGAAAUGACAUUCCUACAAGCCUCCCUAAUAGGAGUCAAGACAAUGUCAAUCUUUCCUCCUUCACUUACCUUAAUCACUUUGUUACCUUAACCACUGAGAAGACCCACUCUUCUGCUGCACAGGCACUCACAUGGCCAAUCUGGUAGACUCUCUAAAACACUUUUCAAAGAUAUUCUCCACAGUUCAGCCUAG
rnacentral:lncRNA from 1 species